AGAGUCAUGAGAACGAGACCUGGAAAGCUGAGUUGCCCCGGCCGGAUAGAGCCCAGGAAAAUGAGGACUCAGCCAGUCUGCUCCCAGACAGACAAGAGAGGCCAGUUGAGGCCGGGAGAAUCACACAGCCUUAGUCUCUGAGCUGUACCUGAUUCUAGCUGUAUGAGCAAUAAACGCUUAUUCUUUUUAGCCACUGAGUUUUAGGGUAGUGUUUUAGGCAGAACUGUUUGUAGAAUAGCCCUGUGUGCACACAAAGAAGAGUCAUGUGAGAACGCAAGGCCAGCUGCUUACAAAACAUGCCUCGGAACGAAACCUACCUUGCUGGUACCACGAUCUUAGACUUCCCAGCCUCCCAGACCGUGAGAAAUAAACGUCUGUCGUUUAAGCC